UUAAAGACCCUUUUCAGGGCCAUAAACAAUAAAUAUGACAGUUUC
rfam:Acyrthosiphon pisum strain LSR1 Contig38625, whole genome shotgun sequence.